rnacentral:tRNA from 1 species
GGGGUAUUAGCUCAUCUGGUAGAGCGUGACGUUCGCAAUGUCAAGGUAAGGGGUUCGAGUCCCCUAUACUCCA